GGUGAACGCUGGCGGUAGGCCUAACACAUGCAAGUCGAACGGCAGCACAGUAAGAGCUUGCUCUCACGGGUGGCGAGUGGCGGACGGGUGAGGAAUACAUCGGAAUCUACCUUUUCGUGGGGGAUAACGUCGGGAAACUUACGCUAAUACCGCAUACGACCUACGGGUGAAAGCAUGGGAUCUUCUGACCUUGCGCGAUUGAAUGAGCCGACGUCGGAUUAGCUAGUUGGCGGGGUAAAGGCCCACCAAGGCGACGAUCCGUAGCUGGUCUGAGAGGGUGGUCAGCGACACUAGAACUGAGACACGGUCCAGACUCCUGCAGGAGGCAGCAGUCGAGAAUAUUGGGCAAGGCGGGAAGGGCUAAUCCAGCCAAACCGCGUGGAGGAAGAAGGCCUUAGGGUUGUAGAGCCAUUUUGUUGGGAAAGAAAAGCAGCAGGUUAAUACCCCGCUGUACUGACAGUGCCCAAAGAAUAAGCACCGGCUAACUUCGUG
rnacentral:rRNA from 1 species